UCUGAGCAGCUGAGCGGACAUGCCCAAUAAUCCAGUUUCUUGCUUCCUCCUGCUCCUGGCAAUGGAGAUAGUUAAGAGACAGAAAGAUUAGAUGGUGGGUGUGCAUGGUGGAGAAGCAGGGCACGUGCAUUACCAUCCAAUGCUGCCAUGCUCCCAGCUCCUCUGAGCUCACCACCCCCUGGAUGGAUGGAUGGUUCUUCAUGUGCCCACCUUCUCCACCGAGCACAAACUGUCUCAACAUAUCCCACCAGGUGAUUCAUGCAUGCCUAAUCGGCGUCGCGCCGUGGGCGGUUGCGGUUUCUCUCAUCACUCAUCAGUGCUUCUCACUUUUAAAAGUGAGAUCCAUGCUCGUAGCUUUGAUGUUCUCCUAUGUCUCUUGCAUAUCUGAGUUCCUCUUUGCUUAAUUUUAGCUACUUUAUGGUGUUUCAGUAACAUUUUAGCUCAGGAAUUCAGUAUUCUUUCAACAGAGGUACCAAGCCGUAGAACUCAGACCAGUCUAUGGAUAUUUUCUUCAGCUUAAACUGUUUUCGCUACUAACUUCUGGAUUCGAUCUCUAGCAACACGUAAAUGGCGUGACAUCGUUUUCGCAGCCGAAAUGCAGGCAAUUACCCGAAUAAUCUGUGCAGGGCGCAAGGCGAAGCCGAGACGCAAAGCUGUGGACAGUUCACAAUAUCUGCAUUUAAACUGUACAAGAUGAGAAGCCAUGAUGCGAGCACAGUUCAGUCAGGCCAGAGAAACGCUGGACAUCUACUUCUGGAAGCGCUUUUACGCUCUCUGAAAAGAAAACUGUAUAAAUCCUUAAUCCAGUGGGGAGUUAAAUAAUGCACAAUGUGCAUUCAGUUAUCAGUAAUGUAUAGUUAUGUUUUGAAGAAGGGAUCAUAUAUACCUUUGAUA